GAUGAAGAACGCAGUGAAAUGCGAUAAGUAAUGUGAAUUGCAGAAUUCAGUGAAUCAUCGAAUCUUUGAACGCACAUUGCGCCCCUUGGUAUUCCGAGGGGCAUGCCUGUUCGAGCGUCAUUAUCACCCCUCAAGCUUUGCUUGGUGUUGGGGCCUGCUGUAAUAGGCAGCCCUUAAAAUCAGUGGCGGUGCUUCAAGGCUCUAAGCGUAGUAAUUCUCCUCGCUAUAGUGUCUAGUGGUUGCCAGCCAGAACCCCCCAUUUUUUAUGAUUGACCUCGGAUCAGGUAGGGAUACCCGCUGAACUUAAGCAUAUCAUAAGCGGAGGA
rnacentral:misc_RNA from 1 species